UAUCAUGUUGAAACAUCAGCUCUCAUCUGACCACCAAAAUUAAGCAAUGUCAAGCCUGGUUAGUACCUAGAUGUGUGCCAACAUGGGAAUACCAGGUACUGUAA